rnacentral:lncRNA from 1 species
AUGAAUAUUUUUGGUGCAGUAUGGGCUCUUUCUUUAGCUGUCAUUUUUCAGGUGCAAUAUGGGCCCUUUCUUUAUCUGCCAUUUUUCAGGGACUAGCUCAACAUUGUGCGACCAGCUCUACCAGUCCCUAGGAGAAUGUCCCUUUGUGUUCCAAACUCAGGGGAGCUUCUUGGCCCCUGUGUUCACUGGUAACAGGAGACAGUAGGGAGGGGGGAGAUGCACACCUGAAGCGUGGAUAUGCUGCAUUCUUCCUGGAGAGAGGGAAGAGCAUCCCAGCUGAUGGAAGUUGAUCACCUGUGCGUGUCGCUGCAUGAAGGGAUGAUGUACAGGCAGGUGUCUCCUUGUAAAGAGUCCCAGUGGUCAUGCUCUAAAAGUGUUUGUCUGUGAGGUUUGGUACAAACCCUUAGAAGGAAACCAGAAGCCAUGGAAGGAAAAUGCAGACAACUGCCUGGGGAGGGAAGAGGCUUUCCUGUAGAGGCUGAUUGUACCAAGCUCAGGAUAUUCUGCACUGUUACUCUGUGGAUAAUGCUGGUAACAAGCUUCUGUUCUUCAGUGUUCUGCAGUGGCACUGCUGCUGAAGAGCUUCUUCAUCCUCUGUGA